rnacentral:lncRNA from 1 species
CCAGCCCCGAGGAGGGACGGUGAGGCGGGAGGGAGCAGGACGUCUCAGGGAAGGGGGAACAGAGGGGAAUCCCUCCCAGGUGGAAACCCCCCAGGCUGACCUGGACCCUGCAGAAUUGGGGUGCCAAUCCCGGCCCCACCAAAUGGACAGCCAAGGCACCUGGGCCGUGGUGGCCGCCAGUGGGUUUCACAGGCAGUGGCUACUCCAAACACUGCAGGGACAUGGUGGCAUCCGCUGAUGCAGAGGGAGAGCUUGCAGUUUGGGUCCACUGUCUCUGCACCCCAUUGCUUUGCCUGGAAAAAGGCCUGGGAAGGGAUUUGGACCUUGCUUGUCACCUGAGGGGCCAGGGCAUCCCCUGCAAUCCCCCCGUGUGGUGGGAGCCUCGCCGCAGUGRGGCAGAGCUGCAGAGUCCUUUGCAAAAGCCACCCCCCCCCCCAGAUCCCCAGGCACUGCCACGUCUCCGUGCUGCCGCUGCGUCCUUGCCCCAGCCGGAGCAGCCCUGGCACCGCACCGCUGCGUGGGGCAGGGGCAGAGGGGAUUCGCCCCCGGUGAAUCUUUAACUCUCUUCUCGGAAGUGCCUGACCAGCCCGCCUCGGGGCCGGAUGUUCAGAGCGGUGGGGUCGGACGGGACGCCGCGGGGUCUGGCACRCGCUCAGCCCGGCAGCCCUGGCCCACGGCCUCUGCCCCCCAGGGGCAGCCCCUGAGCGGGGGGGUGCAGAGGCGUGGGGGGGCCGGGCUGGCAGCGUGGGAGCUGCYGGGAGGAGGGCAGGUCCCCGCGAGAGCAUCCCUGCUCCUGGAGCAUCCCUGUGCGGCGCCAGCUGUGAGAGUCUUGGGAUGAGCUGCUGAGGGACAGGGCCUUGGCUGCGGCGCUUUCUGGGUCAGCGGGAAGGGAGCUAAUCUCCCUGGCCUGCCUCCAGGGCUGCGCAAAUAGCCUGGUAAAGCCUGGCUCCUGCCCUGCCCUCGCCCUGCCCUCUAAUCCCUGCCRGCACGUGCAGCGGCAGCCCGCGGCAUGGCCCCGCGCCCGGCGUUGCCCACUCCGCCUGGCACGGGGAUGGACAGGGCUGAUGGAGACCGGUGCAGCGCCCGGGCUGCGGCUGAGGGUCUCCAUUCCCCUCCGGGCUGGGGAUGUGC